ACAUAAUGACUAACACUUAGUAUUUUGACUUUCGUACAUGUGUUCAGUAGCAUCCAGCUACAUUAGUAAACAUUAUUUACAUGUAAGACAAUAAUAUUUUUUGUUCAAACUAAGAUAAACAAAUGGUUUGAGCUAUGAAUACAAGAAACAUCAUGUAGACUUCAAGUGCUAUCAUGUAGACGUCAAGUGCUAUCAUGUAGAAGGAACAUCGUGUAGAGAGUAGCACACAAGAUCUUCCAACCAGGAUGCCAACCUGAAAGGACAAGAUGGUAGAUGUGCUAUAAGUUAAUAAGCUUGGUAAACUAUCUAUAUUGUAGAACAAAAAAUGGAGAUUACUUGUUGUUUCUUUUACAUCUUCUUAUUAAAUAAAGCUAGAACAUUACAAUCAAUUAAUAUGCUGAGAACCAAUGAAAUAAACUAAAUAACCAUCAUAAUUUCCAUCUUGUACAUGAGCUUGUUGUCUAUACUUCGAUAUCUAGUUAAGCAAAGAACAGCAAACACCUAGACAUAUAGUUUAUUCACAUGAGAUUCAAAGCUAUGAAACUAGGCUGCUAAAUAAUCAUAUUAUUUGCACAAGGUAGAGGCUCAUAAAAGAAGACCUUAAUAAAGUAGCAGCAUGAACUAGAAUGAGCAGAAUAUCUACACAUACCUUUUGACUAGUACAGAAUGCGCAAAUAUCUCAAUUCUCCUCCAUGCACAAGACUUCGAGUUGUAGUGAACUCGGUUCCUAAAGCUUUGUCUGGAAAUAACUAAAAUAUGCAUGAGAUAGGAUCAGAUAAUAUCAAGGCGUUACUAUUCCAAAGCAAGUAGUCAUACCAUGUUUUAAACCAGAUGCGUAGCUAACAGAAAACCUAUUUCUGCUAGCAACAUUUUCAGCUCAGUGUGUAUCUACAACAAGAUUCAUAAUGCGUACAAAACACUUAACAGUGUAAUGCCAGGUCAGCCACUUUUUACACAUGAAAAAAAUACUGGACUCUUUGUAGGAAUACAAGAUAAGGCAUCACAUAUGCACUUCAUAAAUGGUUAUAUGGCAGGAGGCCUGCGACUCUGUUUCAAGUACUAGCCAAUAACAAAAGACUCAGCUUCAGAAAACACAGGGCAUGCAAAAGCUCAGUUCCAGGACAUGUAAAAGCUUCCAAUAGUUGUAUGCAUAAAAAUGCUAAGCAAAUUCAGGGCAUGCAUACAUACACAUGCCAAGCAAAAUCUCGGCUCAUAUUUUACUGCAGUUUUAUUGGCAUGAAGCAUAUAAGAAACGAAAUGCUAAACAAGUUUCAAUGUUCAUGUAUCCAAAAAGCAAAAUACUGAAUCUAAGACUUAAAUACCAAGAUUAUUAC
rnacentral:lncRNA from 1 species